rnacentral:sRNA from 1 species
AGUCUGUCUCCGGCGCCGCCCGUCGCGGACUCGUCCUUGCUGCAGUCGCCGCCGCAGUCGCCGCCGCCGCCGCCGCUGCUCCUCCGCCUGGCCUGGGCCGUCUGCCCGCAGCCAUGAGCGUGCUCGGCCCCGGUGGAGCCCGCAGUCCUCUAGAUUAGUCUCCACCGCCGUCCAGGACCCACUUGCAGCAUGGAGUCGCCCGCCUCGAGCCAGCCCGCCAGCAUGCCCCAGUCCAAAGGAAAAUCCAAGAGGAAGAAGGAUCUACGGAUAUCCUGCAUGUCCAAGCCACCCGCACCCAACCCCACACCCCCCCGGAACCUGGACUCCCGGACCUUCAUCACCAUUGGAGACAGAGUAUCUCCACUGGGCGUGGGGUGAGGACUGGCUUCCACCUUGCUGGCCACUGACUCUCUUUUCCAUCCUUCAAGAACUUUGAGGUGGAGGCUGAUGACUUGGUGACCAUCUCAGAACUGGGCCGCGGAGCCUAUGGGGUGGUAGAGAAGGUGCGGCACGCCCAGAGUGGCACCAUCAUGGCUGUGAAGCGGAUCCGGGCCACUGUGAACUCACAGGAGCAGAAGCGGCUGCU